rnacentral:rRNA from 1 species
ACGAACGCUGGCGGCGUGCUUAACACAUGCAAGUCGAACGGAAAGGCCCUGCUUUUGUGGGGUGCUCGAGUGGCGACCGGGUGAGUAACACGUGAGUAACCUGCCCUUGACUUUGGGAUAACUUCAGGAAACUGGGGCUAAUACCGGAUAGGAGCUCCUGCUGCAUGGUGGGGGUUGGAAAGUUUCGGCGGUUGGGGAUGGACUCGCGGCUUAUCAGCUUGUUGGUGGGGUAGUGGCUACCAAGGCUUUGACGGGUAGCCGGCCUGAGAGGGUGACCGGCCACAUUGGGACUGAGAUACGGCCCAGACUCCUACGGGAGGCAGCAGUGGGGAAUAUUGCACAAUGGGCGGAAGCCUGAUGCAGCAACGCCGCGUGCGGGAUGACGGCCUUCGGGUUGUAAACCGCUUUCGCCUGUGACGAAGCGUGAGUGACGGUAAUGGGUAAAGAAGCACCGGCUAACUACGUG